CCUACGGGGCGCAGCAGUGAGGAAUAUUGGUCAAUGGACGAGAGUCUGAACCAGCCAAGUAGCGUGAAGGAUGACUGCCCUAUGGGUUGUAAACUUCUUUUAUAAAGGAAUAAAACGAGGCACGUGUGCCUUUUUGCAUGUACUUUAUGAAUAAGGAUCGGCUAACUCCGUGCCAGCAGCCGCGGUAAUACGGAGGAUCCGAGCGUUAUCCGGAUUUAUUGGGUUUAAAGGGAGCGUAGAUGGGUUGUUAAGUCAGUUGUGAAAGGUUGCGGCUCAACCGUAAAAUUGCAAUUGAUACUGGCAGUCUUGAGUACAGUUGAGGUAGGCGGAAUUCGUGGUGUAGCGGUGAAAUGCUUAGAUAUCACGAAGAACCCCGAUUGCGAAGGCAGCUUACUAAACUGUGACUGACAUUGAUGCUCGAAAGUGUGGGUAUCAAACAGGAUAGAUACCCUUGUAGUC
rnacentral:rRNA from 1 species